CCCUUAGAUGUUCUGGGCCGCACACGCGCUACAAUGGCAAAGUCAACGAGCUUAUCCUACGCUGACAAGCACAGGUAAUCUUUUCAGUCUUUGUCGUGAUGGGGAUAGACCCUUGUAAUUAUUGGUCUCCAACGAGGAAUUCCUAGUAAACGCAAGUCAUCAACUUGCAUUGAUUACGUCCCUGCCCUUUGUACACACCGCCCGUCGCACCUACCGAUUGAAUGGUCCGGUGAAGUCUUCGGACCGAUGCUGACUCGUUGGCAACGGAAAGUUGAGUAAACCUUACCAUUUAGAGGAAGGUGAAGUCGUAACA
rnacentral:rRNA from 1 species